AGGAGUAGGGUAUGCACCUAUAAGGAAUCUAUCGACCUUGAUAGGAGAGGAGUGAUCCUAUGUGAUUUGUUAGACUGAGUUCUAAGACCUUGGCCAGGGCAGUGAUAUAAAGUGGAAAAAGAGUUUUCCACUAUCGAACUCAAGUCGAAUAAAUCUUGACAUAUGACAGACGAUGGGGUUUGACGAGUUGGCCAUGACCUCCGUCCUGUAGGGAUCCACGAUAGUAGGACUGUAUCACACGUUAACUGCACCUAGAGGUUCAUCAUUCCAUUCUGCUGGGUAGCCACUACAUACUGCUAGGUGUCACUGGUGGAUGGUGGGACUCAUAGGGAUUAUCUUGAUGAUCGAUAAACCCUAAUGAGUUGAGUUGGAAUCGUUCCAACCCAUUGAAAGGAGUUUUCAAUGAUAUAGUGAUAGAGAUCACAAUAUAUCUCACUACCAGUCAGAAUAGAACCUAUAGGGUUACACACACUAGAAGUAUUGACCGAUCCGAUGGUUGAAAUCGUGAU
rnacentral:lncRNA from 1 species